AUGGCAGAGUCAGCUGGUCACUGCUGCAUGAAUCUGACUCUGGCUCUGUUGGAAGAAUGUUCCUCUCACCUGCAAUCAAAGGGCCUCACUAUUAUACCACAUAUUUUAUUGAAGAAGCUUAUCGUAGCCUCCUGCAAGUGCAAGGGGGCCUCCAGGGUCCCCGAGCGUCUUCCCCGGGUCUGCCUCGACCGCCCCGUGAUCACAGACCUGUCUCGGGACCCGCGGCGGCCUCCGCGACUUCGCUCCCCGCCACCCGGCGCGGGCCUCAAUCAGAAGCGCGGACCCGUGGGUCCCGGCCCGGGCCAGGGUGGCCCCGCGCCCCCGAUCCCGCCGCCGCCCCAGGCCUCGCCCAAGCCCGUCGUUCCUCGGGCCCCGGCCCGGCGGCCGGAGUGGGCAGCGCCCCGCCGGCCUCGGGCUCCGCACCGCCUGCUACUCCUCCGACCUCGGGCGCCCCGACGGGGCCUGGCCCCACCCCGCCCCCGCCGCCCGCUGUCACCUGGGCGCCGCCGAGCAGCGGGGUCCCCAGCACCCCGCCUCAGGCCGGGGGCCCGCCACCUCCCCCCGCAGGGGGCCCGGGCCCCGAGGCCCGAAAGGCGGCAGAAUGCCAGGCGCCCGAAGCCGGGCGGCGGGCCGAAGCCGGGCGGCGGGCCGGGCCGCAGCGCUCCUGGCGGCGGGGAGCCCCGCGGAGGCCGGCAGCGCCACCCGCCCGCCCCCCGGCAGCACCAGCGGGGCCCCCAGCCGGCGGGCCGGCGGCCGCAGCGACAGACGAGAAGCUCAGCGACUCCGGGGGGUUGGACGCCACCUCGUCUCUCUCGGGGAGGCCUGGAGAGAAAACCUCCACGCAGCGCGGGCGGCUGUUUGUUGGGAAUCCACCUGCUGGCACCACAGAGGAGGAAUUCAAAAGACUGUCUGCGAAAUAUGAGAACCAGGAGCAGCUUUUAUCGACCAAGGCCAAGGAUUUGGGCUCAUUAAACUUGAAUCUGGGCAUUGGCUGAAACUGCCAAAGCUGCACUUGCUGAUACACCCAGGAGAGGUAGGCAGCUUCGGGCUCGCUUUGCCACACAAGCCGCUGCCCUCUCCCUUCGAAAUCUUUCACCUUGUGUUUCCAGUGAACCGUUGGAAGAAGCCUUUAGCCAACUGGGUCCUAUUGAAAGGGCUGCUGUGAUUGUGGAUGAUCGGGGCAGAUCUACAGGGAAAAGCAUUGUGGAAUUGGCUUCUAAACCAGCAGCAAGAAAAGCCUUUGAAAGAUGCAGCGAAGGUGUUUCUUCCUGACAACAACUCCUCGUCCAGUCAUUGUGGAACCACUUGAACAACUAGAUGAUGAAGAUGGCCUUCCUGAAAAACUUGCACAGAAGAAUCCAAUGUAUCAACAGGAGAGAGAAACGCCUCCUCGUUUUGCCCAGCAUGGCACAUUUCAGUACGAAUACUCUCCGCGAUGGAAAUCCCUGGAUGAAAUGGAAAAACAGCAAAGGGAACAAGUUGAAAAAAACAUGAAAGAUGCAAAAGACAAAUUGGAAAGUGAAAUGGAAGAUGCCUAUCAUGAGCAUCAGGCAAAUCUUUUGCGUCAAGAUCUGAUGAGACGUCAGCAAGAAUGAAGAUGCAUGGAAGAACUUCACAAUCAAGAAAUGCAGAAACGUAAAGAGAUGCAACCAAGGCAAGAAGAAGAACGACGUAGAAGGGAAGAAGAGAUGAUGAUUCGUCAGCGUGAAAUGGAAGAGCAAAUGAGACGCCAAAGAGAGGAAAGUUAUAGCCGGAUGGGCUGCAUGGAUCCAAGAGAAAGAGACAUGAGAAUGGGUGGUGGAGGAGCAAUGAACAUGGGAGAUCCCUAAGGUUCAGGAGGCCAGAAAUUUCCACCUCUGGGUGGGGUGGUGGGCAUAGGUUAUGAAGCUAAUCCUGGAAUCCCACCAGCAACCAUGAGUGGUUCCAUGAUGGGAAGCGACAUGCGUACUGAGCGCUUUGGGCAGGGAGGUGCGGGACCUGUGGGUGGACAGGGUCCUAGAGGAAUGGGGCCUGGAACUCCAGCAGGAUAUGGUAGAGGGAGAGAAAAGUAUGAAGCCCCAAACAAAAAGCCCCGAUUUUAGAUGUGAUGUCUAGGUUUUCAUUCCAGUUUGUUUUUGUCUUUUCUUGUUUAGAUACCAAUCUUUUAAAUUCUUGCAUUUUAGUAAGAAAGCUACCUUUUUAUGGAUGUUAGCAGUUUAUUGACCUAAUAUUUGUAAAUGGUCUGUUUGGGCAGGUAAAGUUAUGUAAUGCAGUGUUUCAAACAGGGGGAUUUUUUUCCUUUUUAUUUCCUUUUUUUUUUUUUUAACUGUAUAAUGUCCCUCAAGUUAUGGCAGAGUACCUUGUGCCACUGAAUUUCCAAAGUGUGCCAUUUUUUUUUUCUGUGCUGCAAAUAAAUAGAAAAAAUAGUUAUAAUAUUGAUCUUCAACUUCGCCAUUCAUGCUUCUAUGCACAUUAGGCCAGGUAUUCCACUUUGAAAGCCUGAGCGUGUCUAGGCCUUCGAAUGGCACAUGCCAUUUCUGGGGAAUGGAUCUGUAGGCUAAGUAUUGCUUUCUACAAAUAAGUACCCCCUUGUUUUGAAAAGAAGAAAUGCAUAUUGAAGUAGUUUCAUGAUUUGAUUUGUUUGGCAUUAGAGGAAGCAAGCUGGUGCUAAGUAUUUUUAAAUGGUUAUGUAAGCAAGCUGAACUGUAAAUCUUCCUUCAGGAAUGUGUAUUAAGAUUAUGGAAUGGGUGAAAGACUAUUGGUAGGGGGAGAAAGUGGGUAUGACUAAAUGGCUCUUUAUGGCCCUAUGAUCUAUCCUUUCCUUGAAAGUUUCUGAAGAAAAAGUGGAAAGCUCAUUCUGUUGCAUUCCUCCAUUCUUGUUUUUAAAAGAACAAGUCCCAAGCCCUACAAAUGGCUUGUAUUGAACUUUCACAUUUGAAUUAAAGAUUGUUAAACA